rnacentral:rRNA from 1 species
UAACAAGGAUUCCCCUAGUAACUGCGAGUGAAGCGGGAAAAGCUCAAAUUUAAAAUCUGGCGGCUUUGUCGCCCGAGUUGUAAUCUGGAGAAGCGUUUUCCGCGCUGGACCGUGUACAAGUCUCUUGGAAUAGAGCGUCAUAGAGGGUGAGAAUCCCGUCCAUGACACGGACGACCAGUGCUUUGUGAUACGCUCUCGAAGAGUCGAGUUGUUUGGGAAUGCAGCUCAAAAUGGGUGGUAAAUUCCAUCUAAAGCUAAAUAUUGGCGAGAGACCGAUAGCGAACAAGUACCGUGAGGGAAAGAUGAAAAGCACUUUGGAAAGAGAGUUAAACAGUACGUGAAAUUGUUGAAAGGGAAACGCUUGAAGUCAGUCGCGUCUUGCUUGACUCAGCCUUGCCUCGGCUUGGUGUAUUUCAAGUAGGACGGGUCAACAUCGAUUUUGACCGGUGGACAAAGGAAGGGGGGAUGUGGCACUCUUCGGGGUGUGUUAUAACCUCUUUUCAUAUACAUCGGUUGGGAUCGAGGCCCGCAGCGCGCCCUUGUGGCCGGAGGUUCGCCUCACGUAAUCGCGCUUAGGAUGUUGGCAUAAUGGCUUUAAGCGACCCGUCUUGAAACACGGACCAAGGAGUCUAACAUGCUCGCGAGUGUUAGGGUGGAAAACCCUUGCGCGUAAUGAAAGUAAAAGUUGAGAGCCUCCGCAAGGGGGUGCACCGACGCCCGGCCCUGAAGUUCUCUGACGGUGCUGCGGUAGAGCGCGUAUGUUGGGACCCGAAAGAUGGUGAACUAUGCCUGAAUAGGGCGAAGUCAGAGGAAACUCUGGUGGAGGCUCGUAGCGAUUCUGACGUGCAAAUCGAUCGUCAAAUUUGGG